rnacentral:ribozyme from 1 species
CCAACCGACCACUACGGAAACACGCGCCACGCCGUCGAGCUGACGGGAGAUACCUUUCCGAAAUUUGUCGCAGACUACAAGGUGG